CCUACGGGAGGCAGCAGUGGGGAAUAUUGGGCAAUGGGCGCAAGCCUGACCCAGCAACGCCGCGUGAAGGAAGAAGGCUUUCGGGUUGUAAACUUCUUUUCUGCGGGACGAAGAAAGUGACGGUACCUCAGGAAUAAGCCACGGCUAAAUACGUGCCAGCAGCCGCGGCAAUACGUAGGUGGCAAGCGUUAUCCGGAUUUAUUGGGUGUAAAGGGUGUGUAGGCGGGAAAGCAAGGCAGAUGUGAAAACUCAGGGCUCAACCCGGGGCCUGCAUUUGAAACUGGUCUUCUUGAGUGCUGGAGAGGCAAUCGGAAUGCCGUGUGUAGCGGUGAAAUGCGUAGAUAUACGGAAGAACACCAGUGGCGAAGGCGGAUUGCUGGACAGUAACUGACGCUGAGGCGCGAAAGCGUGGGGAGCAAACAGGAUUAGAUACCCUUGUAGUC
rnacentral:rRNA from 1 species